rnacentral:lncRNA from 1 species
UAUGAUUGAAUAUAAGAACUAGAACAGCAACCGGAUCCCAAAAGCUAAACUAGUGUUUUUCCGCUUAGAAGCUCCAAAACCAAAAUCUCAUAGGACUUCGGCCACACCCAAAAAGCUUUGAGAGGCAUUAAGAAGCUUUGUUAGUGUUUUUGAAGUCAAAUAUGACUAGAUCUCGUGUGUAUGAUAGAUUAUAAGAACUAGAACCGCAACCGGAUCCCAAAAGCUAAACUAGUGUUUCUCCGUUUAGAAGCUCCAAAACCAAAAUCUCAUAGGACUUCGGCCACACCCAAAAAGCGUUGAG